GGCCGCACUAGUGAUUAGAGUUUGAUCCUGGCUCAGGAUGAACGCUGGCGGCGUGCCUAAUACAUGCAAGUCGAGCGAACAGAUAAGGAGCUUGCUCCUUUGACGUUAGCGGCGGACGGGUGAGUAACACGUGGGUAACCUACCUAUAAGACUGGAAUAACUCCGGGAAACCGGGGCUAAUGCCGGAUAAUAUUUAGAACCGCAUGGUUCUAAAGUGAAAGAUGGUUUUACUAUCACUUAUAGAUGGACCCGCGCCGUAUUAGCUAGUUGGUGGGGUAAUGGCUUACCAAGGCAACGAUACGUAGCCGACCUGAGAGGGUGAUCGGCCACACUGGAACUGAGACACGGUCCAGACUCCUACGGGAGGCAGCAGUAGGGAAUCUUCCGCAAUGGGCGAAAGCCUGACGGAGCAACGCCGCGUGAGUGAUGAAGGUCUUCGGAUCGUAAAACUCUGUUAUUAGGGAAGAACAAAUGUGUAAGUAACUGUGCACGUCUUGACGGUACCUAAUCAGAAAGCCACGGCUAACUAC
rnacentral:rRNA from 1 species